AAACAAAACCUGUCCGCCCUCCAACGAGCCACUCUAUCUCUGGAAAAACCCACACCGACUGGAUACUGGGAAGAAACCUUUCUCCGCAAACUUCCGGUUCACCAGCCCUCUGAGUUCACCUGAAUCCAACCCAUUUGGACUCCUAAUAAACCUGUUAAACUUUUA